rnacentral:lncRNA from 1 species
GACCGGUAUGAAUUAGCUUAAGGUAAGGCUUAAAUGAGAGGUCAAGGUCGGGACCCAUGGGUGGCUAUUUUACAAACCUUGGGUAAGGCUUAUGUAAGUCAUUCCUUUAUAUUGGGGUAGGAUUUAGCCUUGGGCAAGGUUCUGGAAGUGAACUCCAUAUGGACAACAUAUUAACCUUGGGAAAGGGUUAUGCGAAGAUCCUGACUGGGCUGAUGAUACGAAAUAGUCUAAAGUAAGGCCUAUCGAGUUGCUGAGUUUUGAGGGUAUGUGCGACUAAAGUAUAAACCUUGGGUAAGGCCUAUACAGAUAUCAUUAAAAUCAUUGUCCAGAUGACGUUGCCCUCACAUGCGUUGGGCAAGGUUAGCACAAUUGGCGCAAGCCCCAGGCAAGGGUUAGAACUUCACUCUUAGCCUUGGGCCAGGCUCAUACGGUCCUUGUCCAAGGAUCUAAUGAUCCUAUGCAGUUUCUCUGAAAACCUAUAAUGAAGAAGAAGACUCUAGUUAGAGUGAUUGAUGCGGAACCCAAGAUUGACCAGCGUGAUCAAGAACUCAAACAAUUUCAUUUAAAGGCAUCAAAGGAAUUGAUCCUAUAGAAACCUUUCGUACUAACUCGCUAUCAAGAAUGAUAGGAACUAAGGUCACUAGAAAUGAAAAAAAGAAAAUGGAAAAAUGCCACAAAAGUCAUACUUUGAUAUGUAGAUCCACUCGUUACUUAACAAGAUGGUAGAAGAACCUCU